rnacentral:rRNA from 1 species
UACGUAGGUGGCAAGCGUUGUCCGGAUUUACUGGGUGUAAAGGGCGUGCAGCCGGAAAGACAAGUCAGAUGUGAAAUCCCGCGGCUCAACCGCGGAACUGCAUUUGAAACUGUUUUUCUUGAGUACCGGAGAGGUCAUCGGAAUUCCUUGUGUAGCGGUGAAAUGCGUAGAUAUAAGGAAGAACACCAGUGGCGAAGGCGGAUGACUGGACGGCAACUGACGGUGAGGCGCGAAAGCGUGGGGAGCAAACAGG